rnacentral:rRNA from 1 species
AAUGAACGUUGGCGGCGUGGAUUAGGCAUGCAAGUCGAACGAAUCCCGUAGCAAUACGGGGGAAGUGGCGAAAGGGGCAGUAAGGCGUGGACAACCUGCCCCGGGCUCCGGGAUAGCCUUCCUAACGGAUGGGUAAUACCGGGUACGCUCCCCUGAAGACAUCUUCGGGGGAGGAUAGUUCCGACGGCCCGGGAGGGGUUCACGUGAUAUUAGCUAGUUGGUGAGGUAACGGCUCACCAAGGCCAAGAUGUCUAGCGGGUGUGAGAGCACGACCCGCGCCACUGGGACUGAGACACGGCCCAGACUCCUACGGGAGGCAGCAGUGGGGAAUUUUGGACAAUGGGCGCAAGCCUGAUCCAGCCAUGCCGCGUGAGUGAAGAAGGCCUUAGGGUUGUAAAGCUCUUUUAGUAAGGAAAAUAAUGAUGGUACUUACAGAAAAAGACACCGGCUAACUCCGUG